rnacentral:rRNA from 1 species
UGCGAAGGGGGCAAACGUUAUUCGGAUUAAUUGGGCGUAAAGGGUACGCAGGCGGUUUGUUAAGGCAGCUGUUAAAUCUCCCGGCCUAACCGGGAAUCAGCAGCAGAUACUGGCAAACUAGAGGAUGGAAGAGAGAAGUGGAAUUCUUGGAGUAGAGGUAAAAUUCGUAGAUCUCAAGAGGAACACCGAUGGCGAAGGCAGCUUCUUGGUCCAUAUCUGACGCUCAGGUCCGAAAGCGUGGGGAGCAAACAGG